UACGGGGGGAGCAAGCGUUGUUCGGAUUUACUGGGCGUAAAGGGCGCGUAGGCGGCCACCGCAAGUCAAUUGUGAAAUCUCCGGGCUUAACUCGGAAAGGUCAACUGAUACUGCGGGGCUAGAGUGCGGAAGGGGCAACUGGAAUUCUCGGUGUAGCGGUGAAAUGCGUAGAUAUCGUGGAGAACACCCGUGGCGAAGGCGGGCUUCUGGCUAAUAACUGACGCUGAGGUGCGAAAGCUAGGGGAGCGAACGGG
rnacentral:rRNA from 1 species